AUUACAAUUCCAGUUGAUUUUAUUUUAUUGUCAACAUUGUUAAUGAUAAAAAUAGAGUCGUUUUACAGUUAUUUUUACUUUCUGGAAGGAGGCAAUUAGACUUCUAAUCAGGAAUACACAAAAAUCUCCCAUGAUUAACUGCAGUACUUUGUUCAAAUUGCUGCUAUAAAAUUCAGAACAAUUUGCCUGUAAUGAUUAUGGACUGGGUUUAUUUUGGGAGGUGGAAUAAAAGUGGAUAUAGCAUAAAUUAUCCUCUAAUUAUACACCAGUGUCGCCUCAAUUAUCCUCUUAUCAAAAUGGUUGUCUAACUGCCGCAUUUAGUUUCAAUUCUCUCCUUUUUUCUAUAAAAAGAACUUCAUACCUUGUUAUUAUUAAUCCAUUUAUUAUUUGCAAGGGGAUUUAUAUCCGAACAUCCAGGUGGUAUUACCACUUCUCUUUCAAAGAUGGACUAGGGAAAGACAUUAAGUUUGAUCCAGCAUCGCGGAGGAUCUCUCUCUCUCCUCUCUCUCCCCCCUCUCUCUCACCCCCUCUCUCUCUUUUUUUCCCCCCUUUCCCUCGCUUAAAUCUCCUCGCGUCCAGCUAAGCAUGAACUCCAGAGACAGACCCCACCGGAGAGGACUGAGCUGCCAUGGAAAAUGACCAGAAAUCUACUAUCUGAGAAAACCCAUCCAUCAUCUUCAGGCAAUCUUCCAAUCUGUUAACUUUAGCUGCUACUAAUAAGUGUCUCAGUCCAGGAAAAGCAAUUAUUACGAUGUUUCACAGAACAGCUUCCAGAUAACAUAUGAUGUAAGCUGCUCAUGGGCAACAUUUCUUCUAAGGAAAUGAGCUUUUUUUUUUUUUUUCUUCAGUAAGCAACUUUACCAAUGCAAGUGUGAUAAAAACAGAGGAAAAGAGAAGAGCUGUUGGAAAUGGGAUUUUGACCAUAGCUACUGCACCCAUUUACACUUCCCAAAGACUUGAAUCACAAUGCUUUUAAAGCCCUUGUUAUGGGUGCAGACUGUCAGUAAGGUUGAGAGAUCUCACAUGUGGCUGGGAUACGGUCCCUAAUGUGUUACAUCACAUGGAGCCAAACCAGGCAACCUGGUUUGACUGCAGGUUCACACCCAGAGAGUGAUAUCUCAUCUACGAUCUAACACUCGGAACCAGCAAUGCAAAACAAGCCAAGCUGUGUCUGUUGGCAUCUCUAUUUUGAUUCCUGCUAUUUCAAGGCCCUUAAUGAACAUGCAGCACCACACUGGGCUGCUGCCUGCAGCCCAUAACCUGCUCAGUGUGCUCACAUGUGGCAGUCACUUGCAUUUUUCUCUGUCCUGUCUCCACAGCACACAGGAAGGCUGCUGUGGUGGCGGAGGUGCCACUGGGAGGCAUUGCUGUGAGGGUGGUGAAGAGAUGGAGGCCUCUCCAAGGUAAUCAUGGACCAUUAUUAAGUGGCUUAGAUGGAUAUCCUGAUGGAGGAUGAACCCACCUGUGUGGUAGCACAUUUACUAUCACACAUCUGAGCUCCCAGUGCAGAGAGCUUCCUAUUAGAAAAUGGGAAACCAAAGCAGGAGAGUGUCUAAAAAGCAGCAUAUGGUUUAUCUGUGACUACCUUCUCUGUAGCCUGAUUUCUGUAAUGAGAAAUGUCUCUCAAGGGAUUGAGGAGAAAAAUUUUGACAACUCCCCUAUGACAAAAAGCAUACAUUGAUAAAGUUUACUUUCAGAUCCUGGAGCAAAUACAUUUAGGAUCAGUCAGAUAAUAAUAUGGUGGCAUCUCACCAAGCCUCUCUGAUUAGUUUUGAGGGCUGGUUAAUACCACACAUCUUUUUAGAAAGUUCCUCAUGGCUAAUACCUGGCGGUUCUUCACAUGUCCUUUUAAGCAGAUGUUACCUUGUGACUAAUUUUAUGUCUGCCCUUGCUUGACUCCUUGAUCUUGAAGGUUGACAGCAUUUAGUAUGAUUUCAGACACCCCUCUACCUCAUCAGACUGAAUGACUUAUCUUUUCAAUUCCGCAUCUCUGGUGUAUUGUGGAUUCUCUUGUUUUGUUUAGAUUUCUGGUUGUAGACUUGCUUUCUGAUCCCUGAAGAAUUAGAUACUAAAAGGAAAGCAUGAUCUGUAGUCCUUCCAAAAAUUUCAGAUUAGUGUGCUAGAUCUUUCUGUGUAAUAUGCAAUCCAAAACAAGAUACCCUUUACUUGCUGAGCAAAGGUUUGGUCUUGAGUACCAUCAUUAAGCUGCUUGCCUUUAAUUGUCAAAGAUGGAUAGAAACCAGCAAACAAUUUGAUUUUGAUGUCUAACAAGAGGGUAAGAUACAUUACUGAAAGGUCAGCAGUCAGUGUUUGGGAGUUCUUGGCCCCUUGGACACCCUGACAAUAAGUGCCUGGAAAGGCUGAUUUUGCAAUACAGCAUGCAAGUUCAUCAGGUUUGGUUAUAGGAAAGUCUACAUUCUUCUUGCAUUUCUUAGGUGGUUUAAUGUAUUCACCAAUUUAGUUAAGAUUCCUUUGUUCUCCUAGGCAGGAGUUCUACUGUAGUGAGAUGGAAAGUGUUAAUAUUACUUUCCCUAGGAUAGGACAUAUUGAGAACUUCUGCCUAGUAAUUUUUUUUAUUUUAAUAUAUUUCUUAUUUUCUUCAUUUGAACAGUUUUUGGGCAUCAAUGUAACAUAUUAAACUAUCAUAAUGAAAUUGUGAGCAGGAGCAACUUAAUGCUACCUGCUUGAUUCCUGACAGCAUUAUGCUGUCUGUAAAGAUGAGAAAGGUAAAAAUAAAAAUGACAUUUCCAAUUUGGCAGAUGCCCUGUAGCAUUAAGAGGGAGUCCAUCGAUUUCAAGGAUAGAAAUUCUUAUAUGCCUAGUGAACUGAAAAAAGUGCUACUUCUUUCUGUAUAUUAUAGGAGGAGAUUCUUAAAAAAAAAAAGUAAAUUAAGAUAUCAAAUUUAAACUUAUUCUUUGCUGUUAGUUUGAAACCAGAAAUUGUCACUUCUUUCCCAGAGCCAUCCAUUUUCAUUGAGAGUGACUCUGGCCUUUCUGGUAUUACUCCUUAUGUUAUUUCUCAGCAAAGUGCUCAGCCUUUAAAAUACAAACCAUUAAUGAAUAUAUUUUUUUAUCCAGAUAUUAAUUUUCUUGUAUAAGACAGUCUUAUUCCCUAAAUCUUUUAGGCCUAUCACUCAGUUUAUAUGCACAACAGGUCUUUGACAGUUCUGUAUUUCUUCCUAAAGCAGAAAGUUAAAAGGAAAUAAAAAUGAAUUCUUAUGCCUAAGUAUUUGAAAAUUACUGUGGUCUAGAUGUCACUAAGGCACAAAUAUCAUAGUACAUAUUCAAAAGAAAUCACCAGAUGCAGAAUACAACAUUCCAGACACACCAGAUCCAAUUCAUACAAGCCUUUUGUCUGAGUAAUUUACUCUCCUGAGAGUUAAGGGAAAUUGGGUGACAAUUUUUCAGUUUUGUAUUUUGCAACUUAUUGAGGUCCCCAAAUUCAUAUUUCCUUACACUCUUCUUUUAUACUGACCGUGUUUGUCAGAAAACAUGUGUGAAUGAAAAUAGAUCUGAAAUUUGCGUUGCUUUUGGGGCUUGGUCCAAACAGGAUUAGCACCCAUAGAAGGAUCUCACCAGAGGUUUCCAUGACUUCUGGUUAGGUCAUUAAUGACCUUUCAAACAUUUUGGUCUUCUGCCUUUCAUAUGAAGAGGAAUAAUGAUCCUGCAUUUGAAAAACAUUUUGAUAUUGCUAGGGACGCAGACAUUAAUCACUGUUAUACCUCUUUACAAGGGUAAGAAAUAAAAUACUGUUUAACAGAAAGACCAUGCUUCAUUAUAUUUGCAACAAUGGAAACUGGAAUAUAACAUUUUUAUUUUUAAAAAUCAAGCCACAGAUUAAGUUUUGAUUGCAGUAUUUUGUACUGAAAAUAAGAAUAAGAAAGCAAUUAAGUAUUCAUAGUCAUGCUCUCACACAAACACCUUCCAUGGUGAGCCUGUUUAUGCAACUGAGUAUGCCAUACAAUUGCUUUUAUUACCUUCUUAUAAAACAGCCUGUAUAAACCACUUUUUUUUGAUUGUUUCUUUGUGUAUUGUUGAGCGUGUUUGCAUUCUAAAGGGCUUUGCCUCAUUAAACAAUUACCAUAAA